rnacentral:sRNA from 1 species
CGCGGAGCUGCUGGCUCCGUGGACAGGCGAUAUUGCUGCCGAAGGCGUGAGUCGCUUUUUUCGCCGUGGAGCAACCUUUCUGAAUCGUAGCGUGCAGCGCCAGCAGCGUUAUGUGGCUGAUGCGCUGACGGAAGAGUGGCGUCUGGCACCGGGUGCGCUGGAAGUGGCGUGGUUUGCUGAAGAGGUCGCUGCCGUCGAACGUUCGGCGACUAAUCUGACGACACGGCUGGAAAAACUGGAGGACAAAUGA